UUUUCGGACAAUGGAUGUAGAGGAAAGUGGCGGACGGGUGAGUAACGCGUGAGGAACCUGCCUUGAAGAGGGGGACAACAGUUGGAAACGACUGCUAAUACCGCAUGAUGCAUAGGGGUCGCAUGAUCUUUAUGCCAAAGAUUUAUCGCUUCAAGAUGGCCUCGCGUCUGAUUAGCUAGUUGGCGGGGUAACGGCCCACCAAGGCGACGAUCAGUAGCCGGCCUGAGAGGGUGAACGGCCACAUUGGGACUGAGACACGGCCCAAACUCC
rnacentral:rRNA from 1 species